GUAAUUUUAGUCUAGUGAGUGAGUGUGGAUUUUGCUCUUAUAAUCAGAAGAGAAAGGCAGAUUAACCUUCCGGAUCAUAUAACAUUAACAACAUUUAUGGGUAUUCUAGAUGAGGGAGAAUGACAUAUCGUCAGUGAUAGUACCUGAAAUAUUCUCAUUAUUCAAAUACAGAAAAAAAAAUGACCCCAUUGUGAUGGCGUCUGCAACCAACCGCACCUGCACAAACACCCGAAGAAAGAAAUACACCUGGCUCGUAUUUUGCUCUGUUUGUCUGGUGGUCAUGUUCAAAUACUUUCAUUUCGGGAGCAUGUUAGUUCCCAGUCCUCUCGCUAGAUCCAGGGAGCCUCUUGGCAGGAUUCCGAGGGAGGGCGAAUGGUACGACCUGCUGUGUCCCCGAUACCGUCUCCAGAAGAUGGCUAAGCCCUCGCAGCUCAAAUGGCGCCCCCCGAAUGAGGACUCGAUUUUCUUCACGCAGACGUCCUGUGGACUCAACUUCAAUGGACGCCAGGCAUGUGCCGUUGAGAGUGCAGCUCGCCACCAUCGCCACCGGUCAGUUACCGUUUACGUCACUGCUCCCUUAAUUGAUAUGUCACAUCCCUUGAUAAAGAUCCUCACCAAUCUGCACAACGUCUUUUUCUCUUUGCUUGACCUUGAUGAACUGUUUUUGGACUCUCCUCUUCAGCGUUGGUACCAGGGGAAACGUUGGCUGAUUAAUGAAGAGCACCAAAGUGCCUUUAUAUCUGACGCCUCCAGAGCCGAGAUCCUGAGAAAAUAUGGUGGCACUUACAUGGACAUGGAUGCCUUGACUCUUCGACCACUUCCAAACAGGACCAAUUAUUUGGGACGACUCGACAGUCAAACAA